GAACGGGUGAGUAACACGUGGGCAACCUGCCCAAAAGAGGGGGAUAACACUUGGAAACAGGUGCUAAUACCGCAUAACCAUAGUUACCGCAUGGUAACUAUGUAAAAGGUGGCUAUGCUACCGCUUUUGGAUGGGCCCGCGGCGCAUUAGCUAGUUGGUGGGGUAAAGGCUUACCAAGGCGAUGAUGCGUAGCCGAACUGAGAGGUUGAUCGGCCACAUUGGGACUGAGACACGGCCCAAACUCCUACGGGAGGCAGCAGUAGGGAAUCUUCCACAAUGGGCGAAAGCCUGAUGGAGCAACGCCGCGUGGGUGAAGAAGGUCUUCGGAUCGUAAAACCCUGUUGUUAGAGAAGAAAGUGCGUGAGAGUAACUGUUCACGUUUCGACGGUAUCUAACCAGAAAGCCACGGCUAACUACGUGCCAGCAGCCGCGGUAAUACGUAGGUGGCAAGCGUUAUCCGGAUUUAUUGGGCGUAAAGGGAACGCAGGCGGUCUUUUAAGUCUGAUGUGAAAGCCUUCGGCUUAACCGGAGUAGUGCAUUGGAAACUGGGAGACUUGAGUGCAGAAGAGGAGAGUGGAACUCCAUGUGUAGCGGUGAAAUGCGUAGAUAUAUGGAAGAACACCAGUGGCGAAAGCGGCUCUCUGGUCUGUAACUGACGCUGAGGUUCGAAAGCGUGGGUAGCAAACAGGAUUAGAUACCCUGGUAGUCCACGCCGUAAACGAUGAAUGCUAAGUGUUGGAGGGUUUCCGCCCUUCAGUGCUGCAGCUAACGCAAUAAGCAUUCCGCCUGGGGAGUACGANCGCAAGGUUGAAACUCAAAGGAAUUGACGGG
rnacentral:rRNA from 1 species